rnacentral:lncRNA from 1 species
GAAAUUGUAUUGGAAUCAAGGGAGGAUGGUAAGAGUUUUCUCGGAUCACUUGAGUAUCUCUACAUAUAUCAUAUGAAGAGUUUGAGGGGCAUUUAUGAGGGGCCGAUGCACCGAGGAUGCUUGUCUCAUCUUAGAUCCUUGGCCUUACUCACAUGUCCUCAGUUGACUACUAUAUUCACACCUGGCCUCCUAAAAAACCUUGAUAGCUUAGAAGAGAUCAAAGUCCAAGACUGCCCCCUUGUCUUAAGUUUAGUGAUGUGUGAAGAUACUUCUAUUUACGAGAGUACUCACUUCCUUCCCAACUUGAAAAGGAUAUCCCUGUUCUCACUGCCUGAACUCACUAGCAUUUCCAAUGGCUUACACAUUGCACCAAACUUGGAACGAAUGAACAUUUCUGAUUGUCCGAAUCUCAAGAGUCCUUCAAGUGAUGGAAUCUGUUGCAAUCAUCUGACAGGGGCUAAAGGUAAGGAUACUAAUCAGUGGAGAGCAUUGUUCUGUUGAAAUGAUGCAUGUCUUUCCUUUCACUUUCAUUUGAUACAUUUGAUUGAACAAGUUAAAAGCUGCGGGCCCAUCUUGAAUAAAGAGAAAAUUGGAAAGUCAACUCUUCUCUGAAUGAACUCUUAGCAUCUUUCAAAUAGGAUAUUUGAUCUACCCUUGUAAUGUUUAUGAACGAGGCAGUGACAACUAACUGUACAAAACUCUGGCCGUUCUACUGUAUCUUCAGAACUAUGACUUCUUCUGAUGCAUAAUAUAUUUCAGUGUACAAAACCAGAUGUCGACUUUUUGUUUCAUAGAUUGGUAUUAGAUUAAUGUUUGUACUUUGUUGUACAACAGUUGAAGCACCUAUAACGGCCUGAGGUGUUGAUGAGUAUGGAAACGGAGGAUAUAUUAACGGUAGAUGACGGAUCAUUUAUCUUGCUUUGAGAAAAGGAAAAUGGAGGAGAGUGCUUCAAGAGAUCAUUGAUCGAUUUUGUAGAUUCAGUUUUGUAACUUUUUCGCAUCUGAAAGGCUAGCAGCUAUUUAUGGCAAUUGUUGUUUAUUGGAAAGAUUUUAGUUGUUACGCCUUUUUUGUGAUACUUCCUUAAUUUUUCCAGAUUGAUCUGAAUUAAUAGGUGGCUUGAUAGGCAAAUAAUUGACUGAUUUACGACUUUCCUAUGAAUUUAGUUAGCUGUUCCAUUUAUGUUGGAGUUGAUUUUAGUACUUCUGUACAAAGAAAUGUUCUAAACCUGCAGUUUUAUUUUUGAAGUGCAAAUUCUCAAUACAUACGCUGAUUGUCCCUGGUGCCGGAGUCAGUUCUGUCUACAAAAGACGGGGCUGCUUGGCCAACUAGAACAAAUAUGCAGUCACCUGCUCGUUGACUUUGGGCUGCGCAUGCUUUGGCAUGGACAUGAAAGUCUGCGUCAGGCACAUAGCUGUCAUUCUGUCCGAGCCAGAAAGACUUUACCUUGACAUAUUGUGGAUAAGUUGGUGCUUUCUGUUAGAACCAACGUUUAGUGAUUGACUGCAAUUUUCUUAAUACAAAAGAAAAAAAAAAUUGCUCCUCUUGUAGCGAUCGCCCAGAUGCAUUGACUGCUUAUUGCAAAAAGUUGGAAGAAGUCACUGGAAUAAGACUUGGUGUUCUGGAACUUUUGGUUUGUUCUUUUCAUCUUUACUUUAGUUGCAUCUCUUCUUCUGGGGAAUCUGCGCUCAUUUAUGAGUGAAUCAUCUGACAAAGGAGUCAUGAAGCCAUAGAGUGUCACUGGGUGAAUGGUUUAACAUUUUUAUUGUGCCUGCUUUCAACUCUAUAGAAUUGUAACAAAGAUUUUUCUUUCAGGAGGUUUAAACCGUACUCAGAGCAGUAUCCACUCUUCAACUGCUUUGAGUCCAAGUGUUCAACCUCAAGGUGAAAAGUGCAGACCUGUAAGUCUGCCCACUCCAAGAUCUGAAGGUUACAUACUAUCAGAUCCGAAUUUAAAAGUUUUCGCAUACAGCGAGCUUAAUUAUUCCACGGGAAACUUCCAUAACGAUAACCUUAUGGGGGAAGGGGGCUUUGGUUACGUGUACAAAGGGUGGAUUGAUGAGCUAACCUUCAGUCCUGCAAGGCCAGGAUGAGGUUUUCCAGGGUCACAAACAGUGGUUGGUAAGUUUAUUUAUUGGACUAGGUUUUCUCUUUGUAAAACUCUAAGCACUGAUGUUGCCUCCUGGCUGCAGGCAGAAGUGAAAUACCUCGGUCGAUUUCAACAUCCAAAUCUGGUCAGACUUCUCGGGUUCUGCUUGGAGGCUGAUAAUCGACUUUUAGUGUAUGAGUAUGUGCCCAAGGGAAGUCUUGAAAAUCAUCUAUUCCGGAGUGAGUCAAUGGUUUUGGUACUUCAUAUCUUACUCAGCAAAAGGAGAUGUGUUGCACUCAUCGAGUGAAAUAUAUAAAUGCAGGGGUUGCCGAGCCAUUUUCCUGGGAAAUGAGAAUCAAAGUUGCUAUAGGUGCUGCUCGGGGGCUCUCCUUCCUUCACGAGGCAGAGCAAAGAGUAAUAUUCCGUGAUUUCAAGGCUUCCAAUAUUCUGCUGGAUUGGGUAUGUGCGCUCAAAGACUAGUAACUGCCAAUGAACUUCAUAUUAAAUGGAGAGAUUCUGUCUGUCUAUUUGUCUUGUACAUGUCAUGAACGUGUGCUCAUGCACAUGCUUGCGUGCAUGUGCGCAAACAAUCCACUUAUUCUGGAUUAAGAAAUCAGCUUCUUUUCGGUUCUAUAGGCUAAAUUGGUUCUGCAUGUAAUGCAGGAAUACAAUGCAAAACUUUCAGACUUUGGCUUGUCAAAGGUAGGCCCCACUGGUGAUGGAAUUCAUUUUUCGACUCAAGUGAUGGGUACUCAAGGUUAUGCUGCUCCCGAAUAUAUAGCAACAGGUGCGAUUGUCAUGGUCUUUUGUAGUAUUCGUGAGCUAAUCAUUUACUAAUAAAUCAUCGGGAACUCAUACUUCAACUAAUUCCAGAAGAUAUGGUCAUUGUUUUGGCAUCAAUAUGCAAUUACUUGGAAGUCAAACCUGGGUUUUGAAUGGCCAUUCCUCCUAUAUCACCAGGAUGACUCCACCAGAAUUAUUUACAGUGGCUGAUUUAAAUGGCCACGGCAUAUUUAUCACUGCUGAAGAAAGUAUGAGAUCUGAAUUGACAUAUGGUUUGUGGUAUCCAAAAAUGGACGGUGAUUGGAUGUUUACAGAACUGGAUUCAGAAGGGCAACCAUGCUGAUGCAUUUCAUUUGAAUUGCAUGCAUUAGCAAAUCCUUGUUUGUUAAAUUUUUGAAGUGGUAGGUAACGUCAUACAUCACUCUAAUUGCACAAUACAAACAUGGCCUAUGAGGCAUUUCUUAUAUUGUAAAUGUCAUCAAUAUUGAAGUUUGGAACUCAAAAGAAUGAGGGAUGAAUGGUUAUUUCACUGUAUGGAAAUUCUUGAUUCCUGUUCUGAGCAACUUUGCUCGUUCUCUGUGUCCUGAUAUAUGCUGUUUCUGUUGAACAGGGUGCUUGACUGCGCGGUGUGAUGUGUACAGCUUCGGCGUUGUGCUGCUGGAGUUGCUCUCAGGACGUCACGCUGUCGAUAAAUCAAAAGUCAGGGUGGAGCAAAAUCUUGUGGAAUGGGCUAAACCAUAUUUAAGCAAUAAGCGGAAGCUAUACCGCAUAAUGGACGUGAGAUUGGAGGGGCAGUAUCCUCAGAAAAGAGCAAGUAUGGUUGCAUUCCUUGCCUUCGAGUGUAUUGGCGAUGCCAAAUGUCGACCUUCAAUGACCGAGGUCCUGGCGAGGCUAGAGAAGAUCCUGGUGCCAAAAGAGACGACGGCCACUGCUAGACAGGAGCAGCAGUUGGGCUCGUCAUCCCUGCGACUGAAAUCUCCGUUGCAACACAACUACCCUUGGCCGGCUGUCAGGAUGCCAAUAAGAUUGUCCCCGCUCUCUGCCAUGAGAUCGCGUCGUCAAUGAAGAGCUACGGCAGAUUCUUUUGUACCUCACAUGGUUAACAGCAAUGUACAUCCUUCCCAUUUUCUGUAUCCUGUAUUCUGAUCAGCAUUUGGAAGCUUUUGUUUUGUCUGUUGACAAUGCAAGAGGGAAAAUUUUGAAUUGGGGUGGAACUAUACUUCACUUCAUCCAUUUUCCAUGAGAGAAUUGAAAUAUCUGGGGAUUCAUGGUCAAAAUCACUUUUUUCUGUCUUCUGAGUCAUACUCCAAAUCACAUUCCAGCUGUCAGUAUAUCUUCUUUCGGAGAAAGACCAUGACGCAUUAACGCAUUAAAAGGAGAAAUAGUACCACCGAAAGACAUGCACACCUUGGAAAAAAAAUUUAAAAAUGACUUUUUAUCUCUAAUUGUUUAAUUCUUACGACACUUAUAAAUAUUGAUUUCACACUUUUUACAAUAUAUAUUAGCAUGUGAGGUUUAAUUUAUUUUUUUUUAUAAUAAAAAGGUUCUAAAAUUUGAAUAAUAUUUUGAGUUUGAGUAAGAAAGGAACUUAUCAGUUGACUUUUUGUGAAGAAGGAAAAAAAGAAAAAAAGCAGAGGCUCACGACGUUAUAUUGCGAACAGAAUAAGCCACUUCAGCACAUUCGCAACAAUGUCAAAUGAAAGGAGUGCCGGAUAUUUGGACUGCCAAAAUUUGGUACGAAAGGAUAUUUAAGUGUCAAAAAUUAAAAAAAGUGACACUAAAGUACCAAAAUUGCAGUAAAAUGAAUCACUUAAGUGUUAAUGGUUAGAAAAUUUAGCCAAAAUGCUAAAGUGGCGGUUUUCCGGUGAGACAAGUACAAAAUGAUGUCGUUUUGCAUGCUAAAAUGGUUAGAUAAGUGCAAAAGCAACAUUGUUUUGCUGCUUACAUAGAUAAAUAAUUAAUAUAAAAAUAUAUUAAAUUUAAUUUUAAAUUUAAUUUUAAAUUAGAUUUAUUUAAAAAAAUUUAAAAAAUUAUUUUUUUUUUAAAAGGAGAUUGCAAGCGGUGAGGGAAGCCCUUGCCGUCUGCAAUCUCUCUCUCUCUCUCUCUCUCUCUCUCUCUCUCUCUCUCUCUCUCUCUAUUUUUUUUUUUUUUUUAGUUUCCGCGCCAAAACAACUCGUUUUUCAUUUCUUUGCUAAGUUUCAGCAAGCCAUGUAGACGAGAAAAAUUAAUAAAAAAUUAUUACAUAGAAUUUCCUAUGAUUUUGCCAGAGAUGACACUUAAGUAUCCUUUUUUUUUUUUUAAGUGUCACUUUCAUAACUUUAGCACUUAAUGUCCCAUUAUGCCAAGUUUUGGCACUUGGGAUAUAUUUUUGCUCGAAAGAAAGUCAAGAAACGAACCCAGACAAAGGGGAAGAAGUUUUCAGAGAGCACGACAAGAACGAGGAUGGAGGUCUCUCUUCCAUGUCCAUUUCGGUUAGGGGUGAGCAUGGUUCCCUAUUUUAUAGAGGGAGGUUCCGGUUCCCGAUUCCUUUUUUUUUUCGAAACUGGCGGUUCCCGGUUCUUAUAGGAACUAGAACCGGACCGGGAUUCCUAAACCUAAAAUUAUUUAUGCCUUUUUCUUUUCUUUUUACCUUUUACCAAUGCAUUUUGGUUUUUACAAGAUUUUCAUCAUCGAAUUCACGGGACAUAACAUUUAUGGACUCCAUCCAUUGGUUUAAUUGAGUCAUGCAUAUUUGUUGGUCAAUUUAAUGAGUUCUUUGCAAAGACAAAUAAGAGAUGAAUUUGAGUUCAUUUUCCAUGAUUUGUUAUGUAAUUUAGUGAGAUACUCGUCGGGUUAGGGAGUUAAAUUUGUUUUGUCUUCCCAUUGCUUUAUCAUUCUUCCCUAAGCAAGUAUUUUCUAAAUAAGAUAUUUGGAUAGUCUACUAGGACCUAGAUUCAUCUUUAUUCUCUCUCAUUUCUUUUUCUAGGAUUGUGGCUACAACCUAUUUAUGGUUUCUCUUUAAAAAAACGUGGGAUGAAUGAAAUACCGUGGAAAACUCAUAGAUGAAUGAUUGUCCAAAUGCUAUAAGUAUUUGAAGUUGAUAAUCGAUAGGGUUUUUGUAUAUUUCUUUUAAGAAGUUCUUUUGCUGCUCUUCUAUCAUUUUUGAAAAACCAAAUCUAAUCUUGUUCAUUAUUGUUGAGUUCAUUUUCAUUUUGUUUAACUAAAAAAGAAAAAAAGAAAAAAAAGAACCUGUUGGACCGACAAGGUAGGUUGUAGGUUCUAGAUUUCGAAGGGUAAGGUCUAAGUUUUAAAAAAAAAUGAGGAACUUGAACCCGAAUGUGGGUUCUAGGUUCCAAGUGAAACCUGUAAAGAACCUGGAACUGCUCACCCCUAGCUUUAGUUCCAAGGUAUGUACGAGUCAUCAUCUCUCUCUUCCUCUCUCCUUUCACACCUUUGUUAGUUUCAUCACUCUACCCACUUAUGGGGCUUUACCUUGUUGGCUCAUGGAUGCAUUCGAGUGUGUUGUUUGAAUCACCAGAUUGGCGUGUUCUUGGCGCUUCCGGAUUCAGUCUUCUUUCUGAGAGAGGAGGCUCUAAGAUUGCCGACCAUAAGUGCAGUAUUGUGCAAUUACUGGUUGUCCUGCAAGUUUCUUUGAUUUGUGGAAAUUGACAAUGCUCUUCACCACUUCUGCUGUGCAGUCGCUGUGUCAAAGUUUCUUGCUUGUGGUGCAAAUGACAGUUCACUUACAUGUGAGUUGCAUGGAGAGCUCUGUUGGGCAUGCUAUUUGAUAGGAACGUGUCUUAUCGGUCAUAGCCUCCAUUGUUUCCACUGAAUUCUAAUAAAAUAACGCCUUGGAAAGAAUGGUCUCAGGUGCUGCCUGCAGUAUGAAGAAUUCUUGCAUGCAGAAUGUCUAUGAUGAAGGGUUUUGUCUUUCAAAAAGCAUCUCACUACCAAGUUACCACGUCCGUUGCAUUUUUGGUGGUGUAUGAAUUAUAAGGAACUUAGAUCAGCUAUAGGAACCUGAAAUUCUAGUAUGUUGUGACUUGGUUAUGGAUGAAGACUUGGGAUUUUAGAAAUAUGUUAUUGAGCCGCCUUCACAAGAAGUACCUUCUCAAUGAGCUGUUUGGUAUAUGCAGCCAGUAAACCCAUUUAGAAUAGAACAACCACUUUCCCUCAGAUGUGAAUACUUGGCUGAGGUGGUGCUCCUUCUUUCAUUAACUCUCCAAAUUCCUGGAAAUCCUGGUUGUUGCUGUCGACAGGGAAAUCGGGCAUUUGCAUUGCCAUAAUACUCAAUAAUUAUUGCUUGUGUCUUCAGAUGAGUUUCCUUAUUUUCAAAUGGUGUAUUCACAAUUUCUUAGCCUGAUUUUGACAUUUUUUUUUAGCGGUCUCUGUCUAGAGUUGGAACAUGGGCAAAUCAUCUUUCCAUUUGCUGGGCACACUUCAUUGUUACCAGCUGAAAGUUGCUCUCUGAAAUGUGUUUCAGGAAGUUCAUGAUUACCUGAAAACUCUCCACCCGGACCUGCAUAUAACUAGAGGUGAGUAUGAUGAGGAAACUCAAUAUCCAGAGACUAAGACAUUAACUAUUGGCCAAUUCAAGCUUGGAUUUUGCCAUGGUCAUCAGGUUGGAUGCUUCUACUAUUUCACUCUAUCUGUACUUCCUUUUUUAAACUCCAAAGAUUUUUAUUUGAUUUUUUUAUUCUGCAAUCCGAAAGUGUUAGUUCCCAGGGGCUGAAGCUUUUUCAUUAAUUGAUAUUCAACCAUUAACGAUGCAACUGAUUGUGAAACUGAUGGGUGGCAUGAAACCAGAGGAGAUGGUUCAAUCAGUAUAGUUUAGAAUGCUUAAGGGAUUAUGUUGCUAGAUUAAUCAUCAGGAAGUUGUUGAUAGUUCACUGCCUUUCUAUACUGAUCGUCCCUGGGGAACUUAAGCUUAAGUUGGCAAGCGCAGAAGCUAUCUAAACUUGUUUUGACAGUAAGGACAUUAAUCUGGUGAAUUUAUUGCUAACUAAGAGUGAGAUGGACAAAUAGUUUUAGGAGUUAUAGUGCAUAUUAGGAAGUCCAUCUUACUUCCUUGCUCUUUGGAAGACAUUCUGCGCCCCCAUCAUGGAGCAUCAUUGCUGCUUGCUAGUGAUUACAGUCAAUUCCGCUUCCUAUUCUAGUGUCAUCUUCUAUAUUAGUUAGAUAUGGGCAAAUAGUUUUACAAGUCAGUGCAUGGGAGGAAGUUUAUCUUUCUUCCUUGCUCCUUGGAAGACAUUAUGCGGAACCUAUCUCUGCCCUAUCAUGGAGCUUCAUUGCUGCUUGCUAGUGAUCAAAGUCAAUUCCGCUUCCUGUAAUUGUGUCAUAGUACUAUAGUAGUUUGAAAGGCACUUGGAAAUUGGAGCCCAACAAAAGAGAAGUGUCUUAUUUCGUUGACACCAAAGUUUCUUGUAUUGAUCUUAAUUAUCUCACUCCCUCUCCUUUGGUGCUUUGUAGGUUAUUCCUUGGGGAGAUCUGGACUUUCUAGCGAUGCUCCAGAAGCAGCUGGACGUUGAUAUCCUUGUGACGGGUCACACCCACCAGUUCACUGCGCACAAGCAUGAGGGAGGGGUCGUGAUAAACCCAGGUUCUGCUACUGGUGCAUACAGCAGCAUCACUUACGAUGUGAAUCCUAGCUUUAUGCUCAUGGAUAUUGAUGGCCUGCACAUGGUGGUUUAUGUUUAUGAACUCAUUGCUGGGGAAGUUAAGGUCGAUAAGAUUACUUGAAGAAGACCACUACGACGACUGCUCAUUGACUGCCAUUUUACGUACUUAUAGCUUUGACUGUAACACCUAAAAUUCUGUCAUGCUUAUUUUGUUGAAGCAAUCCUAGCUUAUAUGCCUUUGUCAUUGUCAAAUGACCGAUGGACUCGCUUGUUUUACCAUGAGUACUUACACAGUACGAACAUAACGCUGGACAUGUCGUUAAGAGCACCAAGCACAUUAUAAAGGACAACUGCGCAUACUUUUAAAGAGGGGAUUGUUCAAGCUCCCUCGUUGCAUAUACUCAAUUAUUAGCAGUCUUUGGUCGGCUUCCACGCAAAGUGAGUGCACAUAUGCUGUUGCAGGGCACCUCACAGCAAAGUGCGAUGUCUAUGGUUUUGGUGUGGUUCUUUUGGAAAUUAUGACCAGACGAACAGUCAUACACCAAGGUUGGCCUUCCCGUGAAAUUAACCUUGUUAAAUACGUUCAGCCUCAUCUCGGAAGGAAAAAAGAAUUGUACAAAUUGAUGGAUCCAAGGCUUGAAGAGUUCUCGGAAAAAGGUGUCCAAAUUGCUUUCAAGUUGGCUGCUCGCUGCCUUAGCAAAGAUCCAAAAGCUCGUCCCCGGAUGAGUGAAGUUGUAGAAGUUUUGAAGACUAUCCAAGAUCUUCCAUACAAGGCAGGAACAUCAAAUAUUCAGAACAAGGUUAGGGAAUCGCUGGCCGUGAUGACGUCCAAACUCAAACCAUGGUGAAUUCAAGGAAUGCAAGUCUUUCAAUUCCGGGCGGACCAACGCAUAUCCAUGCCACCACACCACCAAUCUCAGGAAGCCAGUGGUAAACUGGGAUAAUGUGUCUAUAAAUAGCUGUUGUUCAACCCCAUUUGUUUCAUUUUCUCCCCUUCUCCCUUUUGAUGUCGGAGUCUCGACUUCCAUCUGAACAUUCGCUCCUGAUUACUGGAUUAUCGAUGGAGUAAAAUAUAAUCUGAGUUAUGUUGCGUUUAUAAAGGCAUCCUUUGAAGGGUGGUCAGGUGAAGCCUAAAAAUGGGAAGGUUGCUUGCGCGUUGAUGCCCUAUCUCUCCUCUACAGCAUUUUAAUGAUAAUGAUUACCUUUGAUGGUGUCUAUUUGAUGUACCUUUUCCUGUAAAAUUUAUUCUGUAUCAAAUUUUUCACGUUGUGGUAUGUCUUUUGACACAUGUUCUUGUUCUCAAUAAUCAUCUCGUUGUAUUUCUAUUUCUCGCGUCACUGGGGCGCUCGUUCAUUUGAAUUGCUAAUUCGUUUGCUGUGUAAAAUACACGGUUUUUUAUUCGACCAAAAAAAAAAAAAUACACGGUUUUUCUCGUUCAGAUUUCAGCCACGAUAAAUUGUUGGAAAUUCUUUUGGGCCAGUAUUUAUUGUUGAAACCGGUAUUUGAGCAUUCAACGUAGGCUACUUUUUUUUUUAUCGAAUUUUUGUUUGGGCCUAUGCGGCCCAACCUAAAAAAGUUUGUCAUGGGCCGUGGGCCCAGCCCAAGUGAGUACGGCCCCGUUAACCACUCCUAGGACAGAGGUUGGAAUGCUGUGCCGGGGCGCCUCCAAGCUUUUUUCUUUGAGUUUUUUUUUUUCAUAUUAUUCUAUUUUUUCCGAGAUAUUCUUUUCUCUUUUUUUGGGGGGGGGGGGGGGGGGGUUACUUUUCCUAUAAAUAAAUAUAAAGUAUAUUCUUUUCUAAAAUUUCUAUUUCUUUUUUCUCCUCCUCCUUUUCUUUUUCUUUAGAAUCUAAUCAAAGAUAUUCUUCUUGCUUUUUUUUAUAUGUAAUAAUACCUUUUCCUUUUGUAUUUUGUAAUCAGUCUAUUCAUACAGUUGGACUUGAUCAAAUCUGACUAUAUGCAAUUCACUUUGAUAUUUCCCAGCCUACUUAUUGCCUUGAAAACAAAUUCUGGGCACACACAAUCAAAAUGCAUAAUACAAGAAGAUGUGCAUUAUCUUAUAAAUUUUAAUAUCAGUAAAACGUCAAAAAAGACGUUUUUCAAAUGAGAAAGAAUAACGAUACUCACAUAAUUUUAAAAAUUAAUAGUGUGUUGCCAAAAAAAAAAACACUUUUUUUCCCACGACAUCGCCCAGGUUUCUUUUCUCCGCACUCCCUCGAUUGCUGCCUUUGCCAAAUCUCCAUCCACUCUUUCACUUUGGCCUCCCCACAAUCCGAGGUACUCUAUUCGUUCAUGCUCGAAAGCGUUUCGAUCUAUUGAUUUCUUCCGUUGGCAAUUCUUAGUUGUAGCGCUGCCGUCCAUGUUAAUAGUGGGCACGUGAUGAAAUUUGUACAUUGGACUGGACCUGUAUUUUUUUGAGAGAAUAUUAGCUUUUGCUCUGGGUGUUUGAUGAAUUGGUAAUUUUUUUUUAGUGAGUCACUAAAUCCAUUUUUCAUCAUCGUUUGAGUGUUUGUUGAUUAUGAUGGUAAUUUGUCUUUUAAUUGUGUUAAUGUAAUUGUUUACCUUUAUCCAUCGCUUCAAGACGCCCAUGGAGACUUUGGGGGCCUACUAGCUUGUCGACGACGAGACCACAAGCUGUUCAUUUUUCUUCUUGAACAUACAUUGGCUCUCUAAAUUUGCACAUUACUGCUAGGUAAUAUUAAAAUAUAAUAAGUGUGCCAUGCACGAUGUGCAUAUUCCAAUGCCAACAUAAAAAAUCUAAAUUUCGAUUAAAAAAGCAUCACCACCCAAUUGACAUAAGUACCAAUAAAUCAUAAUUGCUUUUUAUAAUUAGAUCAUUCUCGAAGAUGAUCACACUUUAGAAUGCGAUAGUCCGCGAAAACAUGACAAUACAAGCGCUCGGACUAUUCUUUUGGCUUUGUGAAAUAAUCAAUUACGAGGAUGUCCUUUAUGCUGCAUGAGGAGAAAAACCAACUCCUGUAACUUGAUGCCGUUACCCUUAACAGGAUCCUCUAAAACGUAACAAGAUUUAGCCAUUCCCCAAGAUUUUGAGGAUUCAUUUCUUACGAUCUAUGAGAUAUAACCCAAGCAUGUCUAGAUGUGAUUAAUUUUUCUCCUGGUUAGACUCGAUUCAAAUCAUCUGUGAAGUACUUAUCAUUCGAGAAGAAGUAUUUACCAUCACGAAGGGCAUGCGCACAAGGGGUCAUCUCCUUGUCUUUGUCCUCUCAUUACACGAUCAAAUUCAACAGCUUUACGUGAAACCAUACAAGAUAAGAAUCUUUGAUUUCGAGACAUGGUCGAAACUUGACGUAAAUCCUGUUACACAGAUUGCUCCUCAACCAGAGGAAAUUUUAAAUGAAAAAUUAUAAUAUUAAAAUAGAGAUGAUCCAAUAAAAUACCAUAUUAAAACCAAACUUAACAUCAUUCUCAUUAAGAGAAUACACCCUCACUCAAAAGUCCCGAAGCAUGCUGAUGAGAACAACUGGAUAGGAGGAUAUAAGUACAUAGGAAAAUACCAGAAAGAUUGGAUGAAUCCGAACGAAGGAUGGUCAGACCCAAACUGAACUGAUGAUAAGAGGCACUCUGUUGCACUAGUAUGAGCUAUCCAUCCACAAAGCCUGGCCUGACUAGUUGCUUGAACGCCAUGCUGCACUAGUGACGAUCCACAUAGUAUCCAAAGGUAAAACUGAGCCACCCAUGUGGCAGAGAUGGAUCUGUUCAUUCUGAGCAAUAAAGGUAAUCAGAGCCACCUCUUACAUCCUCUGCAUAUGCAUAGCCUCAAGCAAAGCAUGGGGAAAACAACAAAUUAGCACAUUAUUCUUGCAUGGAACAAAUCUGAAGCAUCACUAUUUUGGUGGAUUAUUCUCUCCCAUUGUCCUACAGUACAAAGCACCCUUUUUCAUGGGCAUUUCGGGAUAGAAGCUACAAAGAAAUAUUGGUUGGAGAUAAUUUGACAGUCAGAAUAUUUUGUCAAAAUUUUAGCUCUCUCUCAUUGAAGCAAAGCACCCUUCACCAGCCUGCUCACAUGAAACUACUUGCUGUUGCAAGGUCGGGACAAUCCCUAAUGAAAAGGCAGGUAAAUGAGUUCAAAGAGAAUGUAAAGGAGUGCUUAGAGAUUGUUCAGAUGGAAUGGAUGCAUGAUGCUCUAUCGACACCUUCACAUAAUAGGCAGAUGACAUUGCAUAAAUUGCUAUUCAGUGGAGACAACCUGCAAUAAAUUAUUCUAAAUCUCAACAGACAGAAUGUGGAAGUAAAGCAAUCUGCUGCAACCAGAAUAGCUUGGCAUGUUGAGGGAGGGCUUGCGAGCUGUUGAAAGAACUUCAUCUGGUCUUGCUGGAAAUAGUUCCAGGAUAAUGUCAAAAAUUCCUCCUGAGUUCCAUGGGCAUUUAACUAGGAGACGGUAAUUGUGGUGGGAUGCAAGGGAGAAAGCAUCUUGAAAUAAUCAGAAUUUGCAUGUCUAUACUGGAAUUGGAAGCAAACUAAUCCAGGUUAACUUACAAAGAUAACAGUUUCGUGACUGACUGCAGUCUCUCAUAGCCAUCCUCCUUUUGUUCAGGCUUCUCUUUAGGCUUUCAUUUUCCUGCCUGCCUUGAUUCUGGUUUCCAGUUAGCGACUUUCAAAGAAUGACCCAAUAACUCAGCAAUGCCUGUCGCCAUAGCUUCUGCCUUCUUAAUAUAUGGAAAAGUUUACUCCUCAAAGAAGUGAGACAACCACAGAUACAUAGACAGCACCUGAUGUUUGGUCUCCAGAUCCAAAAGCUCAGCAUCAUUUCAAGCAGAGCCCUUAGGCAGGCCCACUGCUAUAUUAAUUGGAUUACAAUUGGUGCAAAACAAAAGUUUUGACUGUAAGCUGUGGCAAACCUCAGAAGAUGAUACAUUGAUUUUGGGUCUCUGACAUUAAUUGGUGCGAAACAAAUUUUGAAGCGAUCUUCAAGAGAUAGCCCUGGGACCUUCUCCAACAUGUCUACCACCCUCUUAAUAUGGUCGUGCCGACACAAGAAGUAUGAGCCAACAAGACGGCAAUUUUCACCAAAUUUCUAGAGUAGCUUGCAGAACGUAACAUUGGGAAGUUGGCAAGCAAAGAGCUCAACCUGCUCAAAGAAAGGAAAGAGACCCACCUUCUUAACUUCUUCAAAUGGCUGCUUCAAACACUCAAUGAGGUACUCUAAAUCAUUAAGCUCAAAGGUAGUUGUAAGCCCAUCAGGAUAUCAGCUUCCUCUUCUACCAGCUCUUCCGGCAAUCUGCUUCACCUGUGAAGCAGGAACUGGCACCAUCUUAUCACCGUUGUACUUCGAGAGAGUGGAAAACACAACCCUUCUGAUAUUCAGAUUGAGACCCAUCCCCACUGCAUCACUUGCAACCAAGACAUCAUUCUCAUUGUCUUGAUCAUUAAACAAGUUAGCUUGCUGUCUUCGAGUCUCAGGUGGCAAGGCACCGUAUAUAGCACAGCAGUGGUGAUUGGUGUGCUUCUCAAUUGCCAAUUUAACCUCACAUAUUUCUCUCAAAGAAAAGGCAACUACACAAUCACCGGAUCGAACAUUGCGAAGAUCCCCAAGCAGCAUCUUGGCUUCAACAACCAGUGGCAUGAAUCUGUCGUAGUGGCAUUCGUGCAACUCAUCCCCAGUAUCAGAACAGAUUUUCCUCACCAUAUUCAGAACACUUGGAUCCCCACAAACAUGUUUCUCAUCGACCUUAAGUCCUAGCAAUGCUCUCGUCCAUGCAUAGCCUCUGUAUGGGUCUGCCAUCAUCUGGAUCUCGUAAAUUAUGGCCACAUCACAUAAGUGAUCGGUCAACGCCAUUUCCACAGUACAAGCAACAUGGUUCGAGAAAGGGACAUUCUUCUUUUCCUGCUUAGUGUGAAGACUAAACUCCCAAAGCACUCACCUUGUCAACCACUUCCUUAGCCAAUAACCUAAGCGGACUACAAUAAGAUUGUUUAAAUGAAGAAACUAACAAAAAUAUUGUAUGUUACUUUACUUGUAGGAUUAGACAAUGUGUGAAAUUUAGGGGCUUGGGCCCCUUUUGUUAUAAAAAGAAAAGGGUGCUCCAGUAAGCUAAAAAUACAGUUCAUGGGCAGCGACGGCUAUUAAAAUUUUGAAGUCCAAGGAUGUUUCUUAUAUCUGUGUAAAAAACCUCAAGCUCCUGAGCUUGAAGCACGACUUUCAAAUGCAGUUAUGGCUGCCAUCUUCAAUCGUGAAUCCUUCCCAUUAGGCGGCUCUUCCUACAUAGAGAUUGUUGCCAAAUGAUGAAAUGUCAUGAAAUAUCAGUGAGAUAAUGCAUGCCAACAUACAGAAGAACGUUAUGGCAAAGACGCAACUCUAUUAUGUCCUGAGACAUUCUAAAACAUUAGAGUAAAAUCUCUUAAUGUUUUGGGAACAACUGUUUCGAGAGCAGACAUUUGCCUGUACUUGAGAAACUUUUGCAUUAGUAUAGAGGUGAUGCAUGUAUAUGUCGCUCCCAUGUUUUAGUGACUGAUUGUUGACUGGUGGUGAUCGAGGGUACGGAGGAAAAGGAGGAAAAAAAAAAGAUCAGCCAUGUUGGGCAGAGCGGUGCAGAGGAACUUUAUUUGCAGGUUAAUGAACCUUUUAAAUGCAGUCGGUAUAAGAAUACAGAGCCAUAUAUCCCAUCACAUGCUUGUAUAUAAUUUCUAUUGCUAAAAUAGGUGCAAGAAUCCUCCAAAAUGAAGCAGGAAUUUCGAUCAGCUAUUCACAAUUGACAUUGAUAAUAACUCCCUCAGUACUGUAAUGAAGAACUCUUCUACCAAAAAAUAAUAACUAAGUUAGCUAGUGUUACCUCAAUCUACAACCUUGAAGCACGUUUACAGCGGCAAAAAUAGACUAGCAAUCCAAAUGACUGCACACUAAUGCUGUGCCGAUAUUUGGUUUUGUACACUGAAAAUAUAUGCAUCAGAAGCAGUCCUAGUUUUGAAGCUAACAUCAGAACGACGAGAAUUUUGUAUAGCUAACUCCUGCUACCUCAUUCAUAAACAUUUGAAGGGUGAUACCAGAUAUUCGAUUUGAAAGAAUAUCAGAUUUCAUUCAUAUAUGUGUUAACUUUCCAAUUUUCUCUUCAUUAAGGCUGGGCCCUGCAGCUUUUAACUUGUUCAACCAAAUAUAUAAAAUGAAAGAGAAAGAAAACGACAGGCAUCAUCUCAACAGAACAAUGCUCUCCGCUGAUAAUUACUCUUACCUUUAGUCCCUGUCAGAUGAUUGUAACAGAUUUCAUUAGGUGAUAGACUCUUGAGAUUUGGACAAUCGAUAAUGCUCAUUCGUUCCAAGUUUGGUGCAAUGCGUAAGACACUAGAAAUGCUAAUGAGCUAUGGCAAUGAGAAUAGGGAAAUCAUUUUCAUGUUGGUGAGAAAGUAAGUACUGUCAUCAAUAGGAGUAUCUUCACGCGGCACUAAACUUGAGACAUGUGGGCAGUCUUCGACUUUGAGCUCUUCUAAGCUAUCAAGGUUUUUCAGUAAGUCAGGUGUAAAUACGGUAGUCAACUAAGGGCAUGUGACUAAGGCCAAGCAUUUAAGAUGAGACAAGGAUCCUCGACGCGGCAGCCCCUCAUAAAUGCACCUCAAACUCUUCAUAUGAUAUAAUAUUCAAGUGACUUGAGAAACCUCGUGUCAUCCUCCCAUAUUUCUGAUACAAUUUCACUUCUAUCAGCUUCAUUGUAUAUGUCAGUUCCAUCAAUAAUAACCCGAAUCUCAUUACACUCCCCAAUUAUGCAACAUUUCAGUUGCUCCAUGUUCGCAAUCCCAAAAUCAGAUAGCUUAGUGACAUCUAUGGCGGUCUAAGAAAAAUACAGUAGCAUGCCGAAGGAUCUUCUGGAUAUCUAUAGGCACCCCAACACCAUUUACAUAUUUCAGGGAUCUAUCUUAGCAUUAUAUUUCAAACUCAAGAUCCACCAUGAGACAAGACAUAAUGCGUACAAUCUGUAGGAUUGUUCAUCAUCUUUACUCAUCAUCAAGUAGCACCUCCAACAAACACAGGCAGAAAUUCCUGUUUUAAAAUCUGUGGAAAUACCGUACAAUAUGUAGGAUUGUUCAUCAUCUUUACUCAUCAUCAGGUAGCCCGCAAUCGUCAGAGGAAAUUGAGAUAUGGUCCAAGGACAUUGAGUCCAGUCUGCCUGACUAUAGCAGAAAGAUCCUUAUGCUUGGGGGUGUAGGAUUGAUGGAGCCUCCGGAGGUCACACAAUGGCAGACGUACACCGAGAUCUACUUGAUGGAAAACCAGUUAACUAAGUUGCCCAAGAUCCUCGAUGUCAUGUACUCUUGGUCUUGUUUCUGAAUAGAAAUUACAAGCUCAGAACAAUUAGUCCGUCUUUCUUCGAUUACAUGCCUGCUCUUGAAAUCCUGAAUUUAUCCAGAACGCGAAUCAAGUCCUUGCCAGAGUCUCUGUUCGGGUUAAGCUACCUAAAAAGACUAUUCUUAACUCACUGUGAGAUGCUGAGCGUGUUGCCUCCAAAAAUUGGAAAACUUCAGCAGCUUGAGGUGCUUGAUCUGGAAGGGACGGAGAUCAUGGAAAUGCGAAUGAGCUUUGGAUUGUUCAUCAUCAGGUAGCACCUCCAACAAACACAAGCAGAAAUUCCUGUUUUACAAUCUGUGGAAAUACCGUACAAUCUGUAGAAUUGUUCAUUAUCUUUACUCAUCAUCAGGUAGCCCACAAUUGUCAGAGGAAAUUGAGAUAUGGUCCAAGGACAUUGAGUCCAGUCCAUGUGACUAGCAGAAAGAUCCUUAUGCUUGGGGGUGUAGGAUUGAUGGAGCCUCCGGAGGUCACACAAUGGCAGACUUACACCGAGAUCUACUUGAUGGAAAACCGGUUAACUGAGUUGCCCCAGGAUCCUCGGUGUCGUGUACUCUUAGUCUUGUUUCUGAAUAGAAAUUACAAGCUCAGAACAAUUAGUCUGUCUUUCUUCGAUUACAUGCCUGCUCUUGAAAUCCUGAAUUUAUCCAGAACGCGAAUCAAGUCCUCGCCAGGGUCUCUGUUCGGGUUAAGUUGCCUAAAAAGACUAUUCUUAACUCAUUGUGAGAUGCUGAGCGUGUUACCUCCAAAAAUUGGAGAACUUCAGCAGCUUAAGGUGCUUGAUCUGGAAGGGACGGAGAUCAUGGAUCUGCCAAAGGAGGUGGCAAAGCCAACAAAGCUCACUUGCUUAGAAGUAUCCUUUUGCCAACGCAUAACUCGGGGCACAAAAUCCGUGAGAGCGGAUGCAUUGAUUCCUAAAGGCACUAUUUCCGCGCUAUCUCAAUUAGAAGAAUUAAGUAUGAUGUAAAUCCAGAGGAUGAGAUGUGGGAGAAUGUUGUGGAAGGUAUGAUUGACGAUAUUUGUGGCUUGUUGAGCUUGGAUACACUAAGAUUGUACUUUCCACAUGUGGGAAAUCUAAGGAAAUUCAAAUGUUUUGAUACGUCAAAAGUGUCUAGAUCGUUCACAUUUCAAAUUCAUUGUUGGCAGUCAUGAUGAACGUAUCAUCUCUUGUCUCCCGGUGGAUCUUGAGUUUGAAAUAGAACGCUAGGAUAGAUUCCUGAAAUAUGUAAAUGGUGUCGGGGUGCCUAUAGAUAUCCAGAAGAUUCUUCGGCAUGCUACUGCAUUUUUCUUAGACCGCCAUAUGGAUGUCACUAAGCUAUCUGAUUUUGGGAUUGCGAACAUGGAGCAACUGAAAUGCUGCAUAAUUGGGGAGUGUAAUGAGAUUCGGGUUAUUAUUGAUGGAACUAACAUGUACGAUGAAGCUGAAAGAAGUAAAAUUGUAUCAGAAACAUGGGAGGAUGACACGAGAUUUCUCAAGUCACUUGAAUAUCUCUAUGUAUAUCUUAUGAAGAGUUUGAGGUGCAUUUAUGAGGGGCUGUCGCGUCGAGAAUCCUUGUCUCAUCUUAAAUGCUUGGCCUUAGUCACAUACCCUCAGUUAACUACCAUAUUUACACCUGAUCUACUGAAAAACCUUGAUAGCUUAGAAGAGCUCAAAGUCGAAGAUUGCCCACAUGUCUCAAGUUUAGUGACAGGUGAAGAUACUCCAAUUGACGACAAUACUUACUUUCUCGCCAACAUGAAAAGGAUAUCCCUAUUCUCAUUGCCAGAGCUCAUUAGCAUUUCCAGUGGCUUACGCAUUGCACCAAACUUGGAACGAAUGAGCAUUAUCGAUUGUCCAAAUCUCAAGAGUCCAUCACCU